rnacentral:pre_miRNA from 1 species
AAAGUACUCCCUCCGUCCCAAAAUUCUUGUCUUAGAUUUGUCUAGAUACGGAUGUAUCAAGUCACAUUUUAGUAUUAGAUACAUCUGUAUCUAGACAAAUCUAAGACAAGAAAUUUUGGACAGUGGGAGUUGUUG